CCGGCGCACGGGUGAGUAACACGUAUGGAACCUGCCCUAUGCAGGGGGAUAAGCGGAAGAAAUUCCGUCUAAUACCGCAUAACACCAUUUGGAGACAUCUCCAGGGGGUCAAAGGAGGCGACUCCGGCAUAGGAUGGCCAUGCGUCGCAUUAGCUAGUCGGCGGGGUAACGACCCACCGAGGCGACGAUGCGUAGGGGUUCUGAGAGGAAGGUCCCCCACACUGGUACUGAGACACGGACCAGACUCCUACGGGAGGCAGCAG
rnacentral:rRNA from 1 species